AUUCGGUUGCCUUUCCUGAGGAGAGGUGGCAGGUGCUCAGCUCUGCAGGUGUCGGGGCAAGGAAGGACCAAGCGACCUGAGAAGAGCAGAGGUGCCCCAUGGGGACCACGCUGACUUGUCGCAUGUGCACCAAGGCCAGCCCCACUCAGGGCCCUCACAGGGCUUCUGCAGAGCCGUCCUGAGGCUCUGACAUCUAUGAGUCGGCGGCCAGCAGAGGCGCAGACCCCAGCACAGAGGAGCAGAGGCACCCGGAACAAGCUGUCCCUUAAUGCCACCCCAAGCGGGGCCAGCUCAGGAUGCGGUGUUUGGAGCAGUCCUGCAGCUCUGCGAUCCACGAGGUGGUGGUGGGAGUAGCGCCAGAGUCCACUGCUUUGGAGCCUGCCCCGUCUGAUUCAGGAGUCAUGACGACCAGAAGACGCCAAAAGGUAGGGAGACUACAGAUACCGCUUGGCCUUAGGAGCUCCUUUGGCAGUUGCUCACCCAUGGUUCCCCCCAGAGGCACCCACAGCCUAGGGCUCCUCCCUCCUGCCUCUAGUUUGCUUUCCUAGGCCCAGGCCCCAAGCAGGAGGACUUGCUCUGAUUCCACUCCCCAUCCAUUGUUCUUUCCCUGUUGCAUCCAGCUGGUUACUUUCCCUUGCCCUGUCCAAAUGCCCACUUCUGGGCCCUCUUCUUCUUUUCUUAGGCUGGUCAAAACUAAGACUUCAGAUUACAAAAUGUAUGCUACAGAUUUCAUUACGGUAGAGGAAAUAUGCGACAGCUCUUGUAUUUAAACUUAAGUAGCCACAUUGGGACUCCCAAUUUCAUAUUUUUCGUUGUAGAGCAGAGCUCUCUCUCCUAAAGUAAUGGCUGAGGGUUAGAGGUACUCUUCUUGAUUCUAAUAAUAAAAAAUGAUUUCUCAUAGAGACAGGGUCUCACUGUGUUGCCCAGGCUGGUCUCAAACCCCUGGCCUCAAGUGAUUCACUCACGUUGGCCUCCCGCUUUGUUGGGAUGACAGGCAAGAACCACCACACCUGGCCUUGGGAGCUGCUCCUGCUUUGUGUGUUUUGCCUGGUCUUCCUGCACAGCUGUCAGUAAGAUGCUCCUGCAGCAUAGUUCCAAAUCUUUCUGCACAAAUUUAGUGGAUGAUGUGAUUUUUUACAUGGAAUAGCCCCUUUAUUUAUUGCAGAGAAGCUGGACAAUUCACACUUAGUAACAUAUGGCCUAGCAAAUUUCAUUUCGUGAUCACCACACCUGUUAAAAGGUGAUGCUUGUGGUCUAAAUAUGCAGAUUCCUCAUCAUCCUCAAGGAAAAGGGAACCACUGCAAGAAAACCUGGGAGGGAGUUUAGGAUUGUCCUGAGGCAGUGCAAGCCACUGAAAUUCACACACAAGGGGUUAGAAAAGAGAAUCCACAUGUUCUCAUCUCUCCAUGUUCUGGGUAUAAUUUGGUCCUCCUUAAAUUGCACCAUUUUUGGCGUUAGAGAAAACUGGAUUUGAAUACCACUUCCAUCACUCUUUAUGAUGUGAUGGUGAAUGUGUUUUUAACUCAUCUGAGCCUCAGUUUGCUCAUCUAUAGAAGAUGUGAUUGUUGUAAGGCUUCCAUAAGGUAAGUGUGUAAAAACCAUGGCAAAAUGCUUGUAAUUUAAAAGAGAGGGUUAUUAUGAGGCUUCUAUAAGGUAAGUGUGUAAAAGUCUGGACAAAAUGUCUACUAUUUUGUAAGUGUUCAAUAUGUGGAUAAAGUGGAUUAUCUUUCUCUCCUUUUUAGACCACAAAUUUUUAGACCAAGUUUAUAAAAUUAGGGAUACUCCUAUUUCUUAGACAAUCAAACCAAUGAUCAGAAAGACUAGAUAAAUCACCAUAGUCACAAAGCAGUUCACAAUGCAUUUACUGGGUAAUUUCUAGUUAACAGUAGCAAUGAUGAUCACAUUGAAAAUCUUGUAUUUUGUGGUGGUUUUCUGUUACGUAAGCCUCUUGCUUUGUUGAAACCAUAGAUUCUAAGCUGCUUUGUCAAAGUGAUCAUUAGAAAAAUGUGAUGUAGUGUGUAAAUGUUAGAAAAUUUCUCCUGUUAGUCUUGCUAAUUUGAUUGAACAUGUGUGUCAUUUUCAAAAAUGUAAAUCAAAUAUAUGUGAAUGGGAUAUAUAUGUAUACAUAUGAAAUAUAACUUGAAUUAGAGAGUAGGCUUAGCUCAUGGCAAUGUUUUUUCUGAAAGCACCUGCAGAAAUCUCUCUUAUUUCUAGUUUGUUGAUGUUUCAGAGAUUAUGGAGAAAUGGCGGUUCUAUGAAUCUCAGACACUGCAUGAGGCAGAUUUGGUUUCAGUAAUUUUAGCAUCAUUCAUUGUAAGGUGAUGAUCCCUAGGAACUUCAUCACAGUGAGAAACCUGAAAGGUCCUAGCAGCCAGCAUGAAUGAAAGGUGGGGCGGGGCUGCUGGCAGGGCAGGGCCUUGUGAGCCAUAUGCCUGUGCUCUCAAGUUCCAGGAUUGUGGGGAUGCAUGCAGGGGAUUCUGGACCUGAUUGUUUCCUCUGAACCAGGAUGUGGUCUGGUUGGCAGGGCAACUGGCCUUCACUUGGUGGCCUUCAGUGGAUGCCCACAUUGGUUGCCUUCGGUUAGUGCACUCAGUUGGUACCCUCAGUUGUUUCUCUUCAGUUGGUGGUCUUCAAUUGUUGGGCAGUGGCAGAAGGAGGAUGAAUCCGUUUGUGCUCUCUCCUCCCCCAGUCACAGCUCUCAGGCUUGUUGCCCCCAGGCCCUCCUUCACUUGGUGGCCUUCAGUGGGUGCCCUCAUUGGUUGCCUUCGGUUAGUGCCCUCAGUUGGUACCCUCAGUUGUUUCUCUUCAGGUGGUGGUCCUCAGUUGGUGGUCUUCAGUUGUUGGGCAGUGGUGGAAGGAGGAUGAAUCUGUGCUCUCUCCUGCCCCAGUCACAGCUCUCAGGCUUGUUGCAUCCAGGCCUUUCUAAAAUAAACUGGACAGGUUGGCAGGAUUUUUUAGCAGACAAGUCAGCUCAGAGUAUGGGGGUGAUAUGGGGUGCAUGCUGCUAGCGCAGUGCCACCCCGUGGCCCAGGACUGCUUGUGCUAGCAAUGCUUUUGCCAGCAAGAGACGAUAGGUGUUGAGCUCUGCACACUUGGGGGCAACCAAAGGCCCAAGCUGCCCAAGAAGAGCAGGAGUGCCCCAUGGGGACCACAUUGAACUGUCGCAUGUGCACCAAAGCCAGCCCCAGUCAGGGCCGGCACAAGGGUUGUGCAGAGCCAGCCUGUGGCUCUGACGUCUAUGAGUGUGCAGACAGCGCAGACGCAGCCCGCAAUAUACAGGAGCAGAGUUGCCCUGAACACGCUGUCCCACAAUGCCAACCACAAAUGGGGCCAGCUAAGGGUGUGGUGGGAGAAGCCAUCCUGCAGCUCUGAGAUCCACAAAGUGGAGAUAGCAGUAGCACCAACUCCACUGCUUUGGAGGCUGCCCAGUCGAAUUUGGGAGCCAGCGAGGGACCUGACAGCAGCACAUUGGACACCAGAAGACACCCAAAGGUAGGGAGGUGGCAGAUACUGCUUAAGUUCAGGAGCUCCUCUGGCCAUUGCUGACCCAAAAUUCCCCCAGAGGCAUCCACAGCCUGGGGCUCCUUCCUCCUGCCUGGAGUUUGCUUUCCUAUGCCCAGGCCCCAAGCAGGAGGACUGGCUCUGCCUCGAGUCCUCACCCCUUCUUCUUUCCCUGCUGUGUCCAGCUGGUUUCUUACUUUCCUCCUACCUACCCCAAUGCUCAGUUCUGUUUCCUCUUCUUCUUCCCCCAGGCUGGCUGAAAACUAAGUUUCAAAAUACAAAAUGCGUGCUACAGAUUUCAUUGCUGUAGACGAAAUAUCUGACAGCUUUUCUAUUUAAACUCUGGUUGUUCUCUUCAUUUCUUUAAACAUUAGAAUAAUUAAGCCUCAUAAUAGAUGUGCCUUUGUAACUUGAAAGUAUGACCCUCAAUUUUCACAAUUAAAAAAAUUUAAUUUUUCUUUUCAUAAAUUUUUGGCACAGGUAGUAUUUAGUUAUUGAGUAACUCCUUUAGUGGAGAUUUGUGAGAUUUUGUUGCACCCAUCACCCAAGCAGUACACAUGGAAUCCAAUUUGUAGUCUCUUAUCUUUCUCCCCCUUCCCGCGGUUUUCCCCUGAGUAUCAUUCUUUUUUUUUGAGACUGAGUCUUAUUCUGUCACCCAGGCUGGAAUGCUACGUCGCGAUGUCAGCUCGCUGCAACCCUUGCUUCCUGAGUUCAUGUGAUCCUCCUGCUUCAGCCUCCUGAGUAGCUGGGAUUAGAGGUGUGGGUCACCACGCCCGACUAAAUUUUUUGUAUUUUUAGUAGUGACUGGCUUGCACCAAAUUGGCCAGUCUGUUCUCGAACUCCUGACCUCAAGUGAUCUGCCUGUCUUGGCCUCCCCUCAGGCAGGGAUUACAGGAAUCAGCCACCAGAACCCAGCCAAACUUUCCCCUUUUUUGUUGUUUUUUUUUUCUAAUUUCCUGAAGUCAUUCUUUGAGUUGUCAUGUAGAUUAAUGGGUUUCUCAAACUACUAGAAAACUAGUUGAAGAAAUAAACAGGCAUUUUGUGAAUAUUAAACAGGACAGUGGUGCUGAGCAUGGCUAAAGCAUCUCUGCAUUCACAGGGAGAGGAGUGGAAGACCUUCUGGUGUGGGCUGGGCAGCAAUUCACUUGAAGGAGAAACAGCCCGGGUGUGGAGAGGCGGCCAUCCUUGGCGGGAUCCUUUCUAAGGAGCCGAGAAAUCAACGUAGAGCUUCCUCUAUCUGAUUCUCUAACAACUGCAGACCUUCCAUGAGUCAAGCUUUGUGUCAAAAGGACAAAUUAAAAGGACCUAUAAAUGGCACCACCCAGCCCAAUGGACAGAUGCCCCAGGCUGCAGAUUCUGUCAGUGCUGUUCUCGAAGAGGCCCAGGCACAUGCUGAAACAUGGAAGGUAAAACCAGCAAGCAGCUGGCAUACAUUCCACCCAGCCGUCCCCCAGGAGAAUUGCUUGAGCUCCGGAGUUCCAGACCAGCCUGGGCAACAGAACAAGGGCUCAUCUCUACUAGAAAUCAAAAAAUUAGCCAGGUAUGGUGGCGUGCACCUGUGGUCCUAGCUACUUGGCUGGCUGAGGUGUUUGAAUUGCUUGAGCCCAGGAUUUCAAGGCUGCAGUGAGCUGUGAUCACACCACUGCACUCCAGCCUAUGUGACAGAUAAAUACCUUGUCAUAAAAAAAGAAAAAAAGAUAAAAAUGGAUUGCAUUUUCUAUUUUCCCCAUUAAUGUUCUACGUAUAUCCCCAGGGUGAUGGAGGAGAAAAUACAUUGUAAAAUAAUAGCCAAUAGGUAUGACAUCCUCCAUAACAUUUUUUCAACCGAAUAGAUCAAUGAGGAUUCACUUAAAUCUAUCUUAAAAUCAUAGCUAAUAAUCAUGAUUUAGUUGCUAAUCUAAUUCAAAACCUCUCAGUUGACUGUAUAAAUUCUGUUGAAUAUUUCUCAUGUGUGAUUCAAAACAACCUUAAAUAACUGUGACAAUAGCAUAUCACCCAGCUAGGACAGGCAGGGUGCUUCACUUUAGCAGUUUUUCACUUCUUUCACCCCUUCAUGUUGUCCAUCAGUCAGUCAUGAAAACAACUAAAUCUUGGUAUUUAUUGAACUUCUUAUAAUUUUGACAACCACUGCAGGCCUGUAAAAGUUGUAUUUCUUUAAUGUUCUCAUUAUCUUCUCAAGCCUGCGCUUCUCACGCAAUGUACUUUCAGCUGUUAUUAUUUUCAUUAUUUCCAUAAUGCCAAUCGAAGGAAAGCAUUUAAAAAUGCUGAAAGAAAUAAAAGAAUCCCAGAAUAGAAAUCACUUAACUAUAUGUGAACAUCAAUACCCAAGCUGCCUGUUCAGAAAUUUUUUAAAAAGGAAAAAGUACAUUGCCAGUUAAUUAGCUUAUCAUGCUAAGUAAAUAAACUAAAUAAAAUAGAAACUAAGUCAGAAGGCACUUCGUUAGAAAAAAAAUCUUCCAAAUUUAAUCUUCAGUGGUAACAGGCUAUUAAGCAGAGGAAGAAAUAAACUGGAGCCCUGAUGAAAUGUAAAUUGGAAUGAUAAUUAUCACUAAAACAGAGGGAUUCAAUCCAGCUGCCUGGGGAUGUUUCAUUAUAUAAAUACAAAUUAUUAUUAUCUAUGCCAGUAUUGGCAGAGGAAGGGCUAUGUCUCUAUUAGACUUUAGCCAAAUUUGGCAUUCUGGUUUCUACCAGUAGCACGCUGGUGAUUUUUCUUUUCAGAACUCAUAUAAGUAUCUCAUUUGAUCUCAUCACGAUCUGAGACACAGGUCAUAAUAGGGACUACAGGGCUCAUUUUAUACCCGGUGAACCAGCCAACUUUCAUGCAGUUGAGAAAAAGUAAACUGUCCAGGUGAGGCGGCUCACACCUGUAAUUCCAGCAUUUUGGGAGGCCGAGGUGGGCAGAUCACUUGAGCCCAGGAGUUGGAGACCAGCCUGGGCAACAUGGCAAAAAACCAUCCCUACAAAAAAUACAAAAAUUAGCUGGGCAUGGUGGCACAUGCUUGUCAUCCCAGCCACUUGGGAGGCUGAGGCAUGAGGAUCACUGAGCCCUAGAGGCAGAGGUUGCAGUGAGUCGAGCUUGCACCACUGCACUCCAGCGUGGGUGACACAGCGAGAUCCCGUCACAAAAAAAAAAAAAAAAAAAAAGACCAGGCGCGGUGGCUCAUGCCUGUAAUCCCAGCACUUUGGGAGGCAGAGGCAGGGCAGAUCAUGAGGUCAGGAGCUCAAGACCAGCCUGACCAACAUGGUGAAACCCCAUCUCCACUAAAAAUACAAACUUAGCUGGACGUGGUAGCCAGCACCUGUAGUCCCAGCUACUCGGGAGGCUGAGGCAGGAGAAUCGCUUAAACCCGGGAGGCAGAGGUUGCAGAGAGCCAAGAUGGCGCUACUGCACUCCAGCCUGGGCGACAGAGCAAAACUCUCUCUCAAUAAUAAUAGUAAUAAUAAUAAUAAUAAUAAUAAUAAUAAUAAUAAAGGCCAAUUAGAGUCAUUUCCCUAUUCCAGAGCAAAGAUGAGCUCAUGAACAACCAGGGUUCUCAGUGACUGAGGGACGGGGGCCCCCCAGGCAGCAGACAGAGACCUCACAUAUCUAUGGCAUGGUCUUGUCCACUGGGGCUCUUUUGUCAAGAAUAAAGAAUGCUACUCAGGAGACUGAGGCGGGAGGAUCGCUCAGGAGGUCGAGGUUGUGGUGAGCCCAGAUCGUGCCAUGCACUCAGCCUGGGUGACAGAGUGAGACCCUGUCCCCGUUAAUUAAUAACAAUAAAUUAAAAUUUCAAAAACUUUAAAAUAAUAAAUGCUGCUGUCGCUUGGUUGCAGGAUAAGAAGCCAGCCCUCGGGAACCACCAGGAGCCAGGAGCACCCCCGGCCCCCCAAGGCCCCAAGUCCAGCCUGCCCCACCCCCUCCGGUGCAGAGGUCCUGUGACACCAGUGGCAGCCCCGCCACACCCCCCAAGGCCAAGGGCACAGGCAGCGUGGUCUUCCCCGCCCCGCCCGACUACUUCCUGCCGCCACAGCCACCAAUGCCGCCCCUGGAGUACCCAGAGCUCCCGCUGCCGUCCCCGGACUUCAUGGAGACCCCCCUGGACUUCGUGCUCCCUCCCCUCGCUGUCGCCAAGAGGCCUCCUAUGCCCCACCCCCCCAACAGGCACGAAGCAUCAAUGUUCACAAGCAGCAAAUGAAUAAAAGUUAAACGUUCUUCCUACUGCAUUUCUAUAAGGAUUAUUGGGUCAGUCGAUCUUGAGGUCAACACUAUAAUUAAAACUAGCUUUCACCAUCCCAUGCCUUCUUAAGUCUUGGUGACCUUAGAUUUUCAGCUCUACCUCUGCGACCUUCAGAAUUUUCAGGAAAAUAGAGGAAAACGAGAAAACAUGACAAUCUCUUUCUCUGAGAUUCCUGUUGCUUGA
rnacentral:lncRNA from 1 species